GUCGCUACCGCUGCGGCCCAGGGCCCGCGGGAGCCCAGGGCGGUGCCGGGUGAGACAAGGCCGGGGUUUGGCUCGGAUUCACCGCGAGGUAUCUAGGCUGCCAUGAUGCCAGGGCCAAGACCUCGGAAGGGCCCUCAGGCCAGAGGCCAAGGGGUGGCCGCUGCCAAGCAGAUGGGGCUCUUUAUGGAGUUUGGCCCUGAGGACAUGCUGCUGGGCAUGGAUGAGGCUGAAGAUGAUGAGGACCUGGAGGCUGAGCUGCUGGCUCUCACAGGGGAAGCACAAACCACAGGCAAGAAGCCAGCACCCAAGGGGCAGGCCCCCCUGCCCAUGGCCCACAUCGAGAAGUUGGCGGCAGACUGUAUGCGGGAUGUGGAGGAGGAGGAGGAGGAGGAAGGGCUGGAGGAAGAUGCAGAGCUGCUGGUGUGUCUGCCAGGCUGGUAUCCCAGGGCUCUGAGACGGAGCUGCAGGAGGUCUUAGGUGUGGACGAGGAGACUGAGCCCCUGGAUGGUGAUGAGGUAGCUGACCCAGGCGGCUCUGAGGAGGAGAACGGCCUAGAAGACACUGAACCUCCAGUGCAGACAGCCGUCCUGACAGCUUCAGCCCCAGCAGCUCAGGUGGGUUCUGGAGGAGGGCCCCUGUGCCUCUGAUGCUCCUGUGCGCCCAGACGUAACACGUGUGUGGCCUGGCCUGCACAACAAGGCUGCAGUCACCCUUUCCAGGACCCUCCUCCAGCAGCCGCCCCAAGCAGAAACUGAGCACAAGAAACUCCUCCGUGGCAGCCAGCCUCAAAGGCCUCUCUGUUCUCCUAGACUACCCCCCGGGAGCCAUAUCCUGGCUUCCACCAAGUGGGGCUCUGUAUUUGCCUCUGCCAUGGCCUCUGGCCUCUCCAGUGAGCCUUUGCUUCCUGCCUUAAGGCUUUUAGGCUCUUUUUUCUCCUGGAGUCCCAGAGCUCCAUCUUCUAGGGCAGCUUCCGCAGAGGGAGAAUGGUAGGCCUAGCAGGCCCUGGAGUGGCCAGGCCCUUAGCUGAAUUGUUCAUAGGCCGGAGCAUCUCAGGGGCUACACGCUUUGCUGGAGGAACGGAUUCACAACUACCGAGAGGCUGCGGCCAGUGCCAAGGAGGCAGGCGAAGCAGCCAAAGCCAGGCGCUGCGAGCGCGGCCUGAAGACCUUGGAGUCGCAGCUAGCCUCUGUGAGGAGAGGCAGAAAGAUCAAUGAGGAUGAGAUCCCACCUCCAGUGGCCUUAGGAAAGCGGCCCCUGGCCCCCCAGGAACCAGCCAACAGGAGCCCUGAGACAGACCCUCCAGCUCCCCCUGCCUUGGAGUCAGACAACCCCUCCCAACCUGAGACCAGCCUCCCUGGCAUUUCUGCCCAGCCCGUUUCAGACUUAGACCCAGACCCGCGGGCCCUGCUGUCAUCCCGACAGAGAGAGUACAAAGUGGCUGCCCUCAGUGCCAAGCGGGCUGGAGAGCUAGACCGUGCCCGAGAGCUCAUGAGGAUUGGGAAGAGAUUCGGUGCUGUCCUGGAGGCCCUGGAGAAGGGGCAGCCCGUGGAUCUGAGUGCCAUGCCCCCGGCACCUGAGGAUCUGAAGCCCCAGCAGGCUUCUCAGGCCCCCACAGCACCCUCAGUCAUUCCCCCAGCCGUGGAGCGAGUGCAGCCAGUGAUGGCCCCUGACGUCCCAGCAACCCCAGUGGCCCCUACAGAGUCACAGACAGUGCUGGAUGCCCUGCAGCAGAGGCUGAACAAGUACCGCGAGGCGGGCAUCCAGGCCCGGAGUGGUGGGGACGAGCGCAAGGCUCGGAUGCAUGAGCGCAUUGCCAAGCAAUAUCAAGAUGCUAUUCGAGCACACCGAGCAGGACGGAAAGUCAACUUUGCUGAAUUGCCUGUUCCUCCAGGAUUUCCCCCCAUCCCUGGCCUGGAGUCCACUAUGGGUGUUGAGGAGGACGCAGUGGCAGCGACAUUGGCAGCUGCAGAGAAACUGGCCUCCGCAGAGGAUUCAGCCCCGGCUGAUAAAGACGAGGACGAGGUUUGGUUGAGGGCUCAACUCCAGGGCUGGUGGGAAGAAUAGCAGGUGAGGGGUAAACCCAGAUCCUGUUGUCCAUACUAACAAGCCCAAUAAGGUACAUAUUCUUUCCUCCACUGUACAGAGAAAAAACUUGCCCAAGGACACCCAGCUAGGAAAUAGAACUAGGAUUCAAACCAAGGUCUUUCUGAACCCAGAGCCCUGGCUCCAUCCCCAUUACCCUGCAGUCUCUCUCCUGUUGGGGAGGUUAGAUGUGAGAGCUUCUGAGGCUGCUUCUAGCUCUCAGAUCUUUUAGGACCCAGGAAGAGAAGCCACCCAUCUCAGGUCACACAGCGAUGUAGUACAGUGUUAGGAAGACAGCCCAAGUCUGGGAGCCGCCAUGACUAUGCUAGGGAACACAUCCCCUCCUAACAGCCUCCUGGGCACCUGCAGGGUGAGCCCCCAGCACAGGCCCCAGUGGCCAAGAAACCUGCACGGCCCACAGUCCCUUCAUCCCAGCGCCUGCCUGAGCCCAGGGCCUCAAGUUCUAAGGAGUCACCGAGUCCAUCUGUGCGGGAGCAGCUGGCACUGCUGGAGGCACGGAAACUGCAGUAUCAGCGGGCAGCCCUGCAGGCCAAGCGCAGCCAGGACCUGGAGCAGGCCAAAGCCUAUCUGCGGGUAGCCAAAUGUCUUGAGGCUCAGAUCAUCCAGGCCCGAUCUGGCAGACCUAUUGAUCUGUCCAAGGUGCCUUCGCCCUUGACGGAUGAGGAGGGCGACUUCAUCCUCAUCCACCAUGAGGACCUGCGACUCUCCCAGAAGGCGGAGGAGGUGUAUGCCCAGCUGCAAAAAAUGCUUCUGGAGCAACAAGAGAAGUGCCUGCUGUUCUCCAAGCAGUUCAUGCACCAGGGCAACGUGGCUGAGACCACCCGAUUUGAGAAGCUUGCUCAGGACCGCAAGAAACAGCUGGAGAUCCUGCAGCUGGCCCAGGCUCAGGGCCUCGACCCUCCCACCCACCACUUUGAGUUGAAGACAUUCCAGACUGUGAGGAUCUUCUCAGAACUCAACAGCACAGAAAUGCAUCUGAUCAUUGUCCGGGGAAUGAACCUCCCAGCCCCUCCAGGGGUGACUCCCGAUGACCUGGAUGCUUUUGUGCGGUUUGAGUUUCACUACCCUAACUCGGACCAGGCUCAAAAAAGCAAAACAGCUGUGGUGAAGAACACAAACUCUCCAGAAUUUGAUCAACUCUUCAAACUAAACAUCAACCGAAACCACCGGGGCUUCAAGAGAGUGAUCCAGAGCAAAGGCAUCAAGUUUGAGAUCUUCCACAAAGGGUCCUUCUUCAGAAGCGACAAGCUGGUUGGCACAGCACACCUGAAACUGGAGCGCCUGGAGAAUGAGUGUGAAAUCAGAGAAAUUGUGGAGAUGGAGAGGUUCAGAAGGUCUGAGAAAUCUCAUAGAGGGACCCAGGAGAAGGCAGCCUCCUUGUUUCCAGGAACUCAAUGGAUUCCACAGGUCCUGGAUGGAAGGAAGCCCACCGGGGGGAAGCUGGAGGUGAAGGUGAGGCUGCGGGAGCCUCUGAGUGGCCAGGAUGUGCAGAUGGUCACUGAGAACUGGCUGGUUCUGGAGCCCAGGGGCUUGUGAGCCGAUGGCCAGCACCAGGAGAGGAGUCAGGCCGCGACUGUGCAGGAGUUGACUUUCCCAGCUUUGCUGGCUUCAGAAGCCUUUGUACAUAAGAGAUGCUGCUACCCAAGCACCAAAGACCUGUUAAGCAUGUGCACUACUGACCACGACUUUCCUGUUGUUGGCCCCUCUGGGGCUCUACAGAAACAGACUGGGUUCCAGGAGCCCAUCUCACCGCUGUCUCCCCCUGCCCCGAGUCUGGAAGAGGGCAAGGACACUUCCAUUCCUCUGUACCAUGGAGUCCUGCAGCCCCUUAACCCCUGCGUGGCAACUGUGUACAGCUUACCCCUGCCUCCAGUUGCACCACUUCUAGAUGUGCCUUUAAAAGAUGUAACUAUGAGAUGGGAGAACUUGAGGGUGAUCGGGAACCUCCCCUGCUGAGGGUGGUGUCAGGGUUCUGUGACUCCAGUGGGCCAGUGGUAGCCUGUCCCAGACAACUCCGUCACCCCAGCUCUGCCUGUGCCUUUAUCCCUGACAGCUGCUGCACUAGCCUUCCUGCUUCCCUAAGGACUUAGUGGAGGGGGAAAGUUGUUUUUGGUACUACUUGGUGGGAAGUAAGGGGAAGGUUGGAUCUUGGGUUUGGUCUACCCACCCAAGAGAAAAGACUGUUAACUGGAAGAAAAAAUAUAUAUAUAAAAUUUUAUGUA
rnacentral:sRNA from 1 species